GUACUGUGGUAAGUACUACUGUACCGGUACUAUUUACAAUAGCAGUAGUGCUAUUGUAAAUACUAUCUAUCUGGUACAAUAUUACAAGUACUGUGGUAAGUACUAUUGUACCGGUACUAUUUACAAUAGUAACGGUAUUAUCUAUCUACUAUCUAUCUGAUAUUCUGGUACAAUAUCAGGAAUACCGGUACUAUUGUAAAUAGUAUCUAUACCAGAGUAUUGAUGAAUGCCAAACACAGUACAGCUUUAUGAUGGGCCUAAAAGUUGUAAUAAAUUGUGGUAAAAUGCAAUACCUACAACUUGGACAAGUCUGUACAUAUCAUACUUCUGAUCACAACCAGAUAUUCUUAUUCUCACAAUUGAUCCAAUCACUUUUACACGAAACUCUUCACUAUUGUCAAUAAGAUUCUCCAUCAAUUUCCGGCGAAGGUAUAUUAAGUUCAUAUUAUGGACAUCAAUGGCAGCAUAGUCAUCCAAUUUAUUUUGUGGGACCCGGUCUUCACUCUUCUUGUGAUUUCUCCUUUUCUUAUCUUUACCCAAUGUCACCAUAUUUUCAAGAUUCCAAUCAGGGUCAACUUGUUUUCCAAUAUUCUUGAUUGUGUUCUUUGGGAGAUCUUCAUUUAUGAAAAAAUGAAACUCCAAAAGCUUUAACAUUUCAAAAUGACCAACACGUGGUUUCCCGAAAAGAAUCUUUAGCCUUGAAUCGCAUAGUAUUUGACUUUUCUUUCGUGGGUCCCGCAGAUUAUUUCUUUUUAUGUACUCUAACAUGAGUUCUUGAACAUCAAACUGAGAUAACAAUGAUGUAUCACCAUUCUUCAUAUGUGCAACAAAAUCUAAAAGCUCUUUAGUUGCCCAUUCUUUGCUUUCGUUAGCACCCGGUUUUUUCGUAAUUACAGUUUCCUUUUGGAUGUGUUCAUCUGUCUUUUGUCUUUUAGAUUCACUUGUCUCGAGAUUUUGAGGGGAAAUCUCAGGUGUAAGGCUUUUAAGAUCAUUGUCCCCAUUGUGUACACAUGUUGAUUGGCUAACUAAAGGGGUUGUUGUAUUAGCUCGUUUCCAUGGAUUUGUAGCUUGAGUAAGCUCAUCAAGAGUCAAAGAUAAUUUCCCUUUUAAAUAUAUCCAAUACACCUUAAAAAGAUACUCCCAACUAGUUUUGUCAUCAAAAUCCACCUGAGCCUGAAAAAAAAAAUUGUAAUUCUUGAAUUUAACCCAUUUUAGCAAGUAUUAUGGAGAUAUGAUGCUGCAUAGUGCAUACCUUCUCAUCCUUUUCUUGUCCAUUGUUUUCAAUCAGCAUGAUUGUUUUCAUGCACGUUGUGCAAAAGCCUUUAUCACCUCUUACACAUACAUAAUCAGCUCUUUUAAUGNAUUUAGUACUUCAAGCAAAAUAUCUACAGAUUUAUUGCCAAUCUUAUAUGGUGCAUCUGCCUUACUUGUACCUGAAAACAUCAACCAUAACUUUUAGGCGCUACAUCUGACAUAAGCCUAUGCUUGUGCUUGUUACACCAGACUCGACAAGCUUUCUAAGGUUAUUUUCAAUGAUGAAAAUGACAGGGGCAUUUACGUCUUUUGUACAAACAAUUAAUUAAAUGUCAGUCUACGUCCCACCUUUUCAGGUAGAACAUAAAAACUUGAACAAUAUAGUACCAAUACUACGCCAUGCCGUAUAGUAACGGUGUACACUACUAGUGCUAUUGUACCAAAUACUAGUAUUAUUGUAUUUACAAUAAUACCGGUACUAUCUAUCUAUCUGGUAUAACAGCACUAGUGUUAUUGUAGCAAAUACUAGUACUGUGGUAAGUACUAUUGUACCGGUACUAUUUACAAUAGCAGUAGUGCUAUUGUAAAUACUAUCUAUCUAUCUAUCUGGUACAAUAGCAAUAGCACUAGUGCUAUUGUACCCGGUACAAGUACUGUGGUAAGUACUACUGUACCGGUACUAUUUACAAUAGCAGUAGUGCUAUUGUAAAUACUAUCUAUCUGGUACAAUAUUACAAGUACUGUGGUAAGUACUAUUGUACCGGUACUAUUUACAAUAGUAACGGUAUUAUCUAUCUACUAUCUAUCUGAUAUUCUGGUACAAUAUCAGGAAUACCGGUACUAUUGUAAAUAGUAUCUAUACCAGAGUAUUGAUGAAUGCCAAACACAGUACAGCUUUAUGAUGGGCCUAAAAGUUGUAAUAAAUUGUGGUAAAAUGCAAUACCUACAACUUGGACAAGUCUGUACAUAUCAUACUUCUGAUCACAACCAGAUAUUCUUAUUCUCACAAUUGAUCCAAUCACUUUUACACGAAACUCUUCACUAUUGUCAAUAAGAUUCUCCAUCAAUUUCCGGCGAAGGUAUAUUAAGUUCAUAUUAUGGACAUCAAUGGCAGCAUAGUCAUCCAAUUUAUUUUGUGGGACCCGGUCUUCACUCUUCUUGUGAUUUCUCCUUUUCUUAUCUUUACCCAAUGUCACCAUAUUUUCAAGAUUCCAAUCAGGGUCAACUUGUUUUCCAAUAUUCUUGAUUGUGUUCUUUGGGAGAUCUUCAUUUAUGAAAAAAUGAAACUCCAAAAGCUUUAACAUUUCAAAAUGACCAACACGUGGUUUCCCGAAAAGAAUCUUUAGCCUUGAAUCGCAUAGUAUUUGACUUUUCUUUCGUGGGUCCCGCAGAUUAUUUCUUUUUAUGUACUCUAACAUGAGUUCUUGAACAUCAAACUGAGAUAACAAUGAUGUAUCACCAUUCUUCAUAUGUGCAACAAAAUCUAAAAGCUCUUUAGUUGCCCAUUCUUUGCUUUCGUUAGCACCCGGUUUUUUCGUAAUUACAGUUUCCUUUUGGAUGUGUUCAUCUGUCUUUUGUCUUUUAGAUUCACUUGUCUCGAGAUUUUGAGGGGAAAUCUCAGGUGUAAGGCUUUUAAGAUCAUUGUCCCCAUUGUGUACACAUGUUGAUUGGCUAACUAAAGGGGUUGUUGUAUUAGCUCGUUUCCAUGGAUUUGUAGCUUGAGUAAGCUCAUCAAGAGUCAAAGAUAAUUUCCCUUUUAAAUAUAUCCAAUACACCUUAAAAAGAUACUCCCAACUAGUUUUGUCAUCAAAAUCCACCUGAGCCUGAAAAAAAAAAUUGUAAUUCUUGAAUUUAACCCAUUUUAGCAAGUAUUAUGGAGAUAUGAUGCUGCAUAGUGCAUACCUUCUCAUCCUUUUCUUGUCCAUUGUUUUCAAUCAGCAUGAUUGUUUUCAUGCACACUGUGCAAAAGCCUUUAUCACCUCUGACACAUACAUAAUCAGCUCUUUUAAUGCAUCCUUUGCACAAUGAAUAUGUACAAGUAUAGCACAUAUGAUGGGCUGCCUUCUGGCAUAUACUACAUAUAUGCCAACCUGAAAUUCAUUUCAACAUCAUUGCAACUUACUCAACUUCUUUUCACAAUUAUAUAGUUGAAUAGACAAUAUACAGACCAUAGUGAGUGAUUUUAUUCAGUAGAACCCCAUAUGCUAAGUUCUAACACAUCUGUUUUGAAAGAAAAACCCUUGUUUCACAUGACUAAGCAAUCAGAUAAUCAGAAUUCUAUGGGGUUACAGCAAGAUACAUAAAAAUAUAUAUUUU
rnacentral:lncRNA from 1 species